rnacentral:tRNA from 2 species
CGGGAUGUGGCGCAGUCGGUUAGCGUGCUGGUCUGGGGGACCAGAGGUCGUGAGUUCGAGUCUCACCAUCCCGA